GUGCCAGCAGCCGCGGUAAGACGUAGGGGGCCAGCGUUGUCCGGAGUUACUGGGCGUAAAGCGCCCGCAGGCGGUCCUCCACGUUUGUGCUGCCAGCCCGCGGCUUAACUGCGGGAGUGGUACAAAACGAGGGGACUGGAGCCCGAGAGAGGGACCUGGAACUCCCGGUGGAGCGGUGAAAUGCGUAGAGAUCGGGAAGAACACCAAAGGCGCAGGCAGGGUCCUGGCUCGGUGCUGACGCUCAGGGGCGAAAGCGAGGGGAGCGAACGGGAUUAGAUACCCCGGUAGUCCUCGCCGUAAACGAUGACCACUAGGCGUGGGAGGUAUCGACCCCUUCCGUGCCGCAACUAACGCGCUAAGUGGUCCGCCUGGGGAGUACGGUCGCAAGAUUAAAACUCAAAGGAAUUGACGGGGACCCGCACAAGCAGCGGAGCGUGUGGUUUAAUUCGAUGCGACGCGCAGAACCUUACCAGGCUUGGACAUGGAGCCGCACCAUCCUGAAAGGGAUGUUCCUUCGGGACGACUCCACAGGUGCUGCAUGGCUGUCGUCAGCUCGUGCCGUGAGGUGUUGGGUUAAGUCCCGCAACGAGUGCAACCCCUGUCGUCGGUUGCUUUCUCCGACGAGACUGCCACUCUCAAAGUGGAGGAAGGUGGGGAUGACGUCAAGUCAGCACGGCCCUGACGGCCUGGGCUACACACACGCUACAAUGGGCGCGACAACGAGUGGCCAACCCGCGAGGGGGAGCUAAUCUCAGCAAACGCGCUCUCAGUUCGGAUUGGAGGCUGCAACCCGCCUCCAUGAAGUCGGAGUUGCUAGUAACCGUGGGUCAGCACACCACGGUGAAUACGUUCCCGGGUCUUGUACACACCGCCCGUCACACCACGAAAGUCGGCAACACCUGAAGCCGCCGGGCUAACCCCUUUCGCAGGGGAGGCAGGCGUCCAGGGUGGGGUCGGUGAUUGGGGUGAAGUCGUAACAAGGUAACCGU
rnacentral:rRNA from 1 species